AUGGGGUACACGUUCCCAAUGGCCGACAUGCUGUUCACUGUUUGUGAGUCAGUCUUCAGACAAUUACUACUUGAAAUUUGAUCCAAACACACACAUACCAAGAACAUUUUUUCUCAAAAAUUGCCACGUAGCCUCUCUAGACUCUUCCAUGCAACAGUGCUUGUGCAUAUAUACCAAGAAAAUAAAUCUAAAGUGAACGGCGUAAAAACAUUUGGUGAAAGCCAAAGAAUUUCCCCAGCAAAGAAAGGUUAGCCUAUUAAGAAAAUGAGGCAAAACAGAGAGUUAUGGGAUUUUCUUGACAAGGGUGGUUGCCUCUCUCUGUUAACCCUAUGAUUUUUCAAAAAAAGAAUCAUAAAUCAACAACCCUUGGAUUCAUGUUAAUUUUCUUGGAAAUUACUGAAUCUUGGAACUUGGAAAACAGCAUUCAUUGUUUCUUCAACUUCAACAUCAACAUCUGUAGUCAUUCCUCUGUUUCUUGAUUUCUCCUUUUUGAUCCAUAAUAUGAUAAUAAUAAUAGAGGCAGUGAUGAUAAUGAUGUUUAUUCGGAUCAAUUCUGGGCUAACCGGGUCGGGCCUAGAGACUAUCCGACCCGUAUCUUGGCUUGGCAGAUCACCUUUGCAGCCAUGGCGUGGUCGCCUCUCUUUUGCAUCGAUCUCUUUGCAUAUCUGAGCCUCUACUUACUGAAAUAUACAUGAACUAAUACUUUUUGUUUUUGUAAAUUUAUUACUCCCUCUAUCCCAAUUUAUCUAAGCUUUACUUUUUAGUUUAUUUGUUAAAAUUCUGUGUCGAUGUUAUAUAAAUUAGAACAGAGGGAGUAAUUACUUUUUGCUCCAAAGUUUCAGCUUAUGCUUCGGUGGCUUCACUCUUCUUUGGGUCGUUUGUCCAGUGAAGUGAGAUAAGAAAGAGGACGGCCCAUUAUGAUUAAGUCCACUGGGCUUCGUUCAGGCCCAUGCCAAAGAAAAAACCCAACUAGCAAGCUAUUUCUACCACAUCGAAUGCAGAAAGAUUCUUAGCUGAGUUUAUAUUGCAAAACAUUCAUAACUAUGCUUGUCCCUUCGGGGACAUCCGAUAAAAUUGGAACGAUACAGAGAAGAUUAGCAUGGCCCCUGCGCAAGGAUGACACGCACAAAUCGAGAAAUGGUCCAAAUUUUUUUCCAAUCAUUUUCUUUGUUUUUGCUUUUUUACUCAUCAUGUUCUAUCAAAAUUUUAACCUAACCUAGCAUUUUUUGGGCUUGGAAGAUUUAGCUCAAAAUGGAAUUGUUCGGAAGAGAACAUGUGUUUCGGUAUUGCACAAAUAUGAUUCAGUUAUAUAUUAUAAUAUACAUGUGAUUUGUCUAAGCAAUUUUUUUGAGAUUUUCAAUAGGUCAAUACCAAAAUUUGCUUUCUGGCUUA